GAUGAACGCUAGCUACAGGCUUUAACACAUGCAAGUCGAACGAGGUGUACUUUGGAAUUGGAAGUGCUUGCACGGAAGAGGAAGAAAGAAUCGCACCUAGUGGCAGACGGGUGAGUAACGCGUGGGUAAUCUACCCAACAGACUGGGAUAACUAUUGGAAACGAUAGCUAAUACCGGAUGAGACUAGAUACAAAAGUAUCAAAGUUAAAAGGAGCUACGGCUUCACUGUUGGAUGAGCUUGCGUUGUAUUAGCUAGUUGGUGGGGUAAGAGCCUACCAAGGCAACGAUGCAUAUCCGAGCUGAGAGGCUGAUCGGACACACUGGGGACUGAGACACGGCCCAGACUCCUACGGGAGACAGCAGUUAGGAAUAUUCGUCGAUGGGGAAACCCUGAACGAGCAAUGCCGCGUGAUUGAAGAAGGCCUUAUAGGUCGUAAAGAUCUGUUGUAAAGGAAGAACACUUAACUAAUAGGGAAUGAUAGUAAGCUGACGGUAC
rnacentral:rRNA from 1 species